AAUACAUGCAAGUCGAGGGAGCAAUCCUACCGGCAAACGGGUGCGGAACACGUACGCAACCUUCCCAUUACUGGUGAAUAGCCUUUCGAAAGAGAGAUUAAUACACCGUAACAUAACGAGGAGGCAUCUCUUUGUUAUUAUAGUGCAAUACGGUUUUGGAUGGGCGUGCGCCUGAUUAGGUAGUUGGCGGGGUAACGGCCCACCAAGCCUGCGAUCAGUAACUGGUGUGAGAGCACGACCAGUCACACGGGCACUGAGACACGGGCCCGACUCCUACGGGAGGCAGCAGUAAGGAAUAUUGGUCAAUGGACGCAAGUCUGAACCAGCUAUGCCGCGUGAAGGAUGACGGCCCUCUGGGUUGUAAACUUCUUUUAUCUGGGACGAAAAAAGCCUUUUCUAAGGCACUUGACGGUACCAGAGGAAUAAG
rnacentral:rRNA from 1 species